rnacentral:rRNA from 1 species
CCUACGGGGGGCAGCAGUGGGGAAUAUUGGACAAUGGGGGGAACCCUGAUCCAGCCAUGCCGCGUGUGUGAAGAAGGCCCUCGGGUUGUAAAGCACUUUCAGUGAGGAAGAACGCCUGGUGGUUAAUACCCAUCAGGAAAGACAGCACUCACAGAAGAAGCACCGGCUAACUCCGUGCCAGCAGCCGCGGUAAUACGGAGGGUGCGAGCGUUAAUCGGAAUUACUGGGCGUAAAGCGCGCGUAGGUGGCUUGAUAAGCCGGUUGUGAAAGCCCCGGGCUCAACCUGGGAACGGCAUCCGGAACUGUCAAGCUGGAGUGCAGGAGAGGAAGGUAGAAUUCCCGGUGUAGCGGUGAAAUGCGUAGAGAUCGGGAGGAAUACCAGUGGCGAAGGCGGCCUUCUGGACUGACACUGACACUGAGGUGCGAAAGCGUGGGUAGCAAACAGGAUUAGAUACCCGUGUAGUC